ACACGGGUAAGUAACGCGUGGAUAAUCUACCCUUAAGAUGGGGAUAACGACUGGAAACGGUCGCUAAUACCGAAUACGCUCCCGAUUUUAUCGUUGGGGGGAAAGAUGGCCUCUGCUUGCAAGCUAUCGCUUAAGGAUGAGUCCGCGUCCCAUUAGCUAGUUGGCGGAGUAACGACCCACCAAGGCAACGAUGGGUAGCCGGUCUGAGAGGAUGACCGGCCACACUGGAACUGGAACACGGUCCAG
rnacentral:rRNA from 1 species